rnacentral:rRNA from 1 species
CUCCCAAACCCCUGUGAACAUACCUUAAUGUUGCCUCGGCGGAUCAGCCCGCGCCCGGUAAAACGGGACGGCCCGCCAGAGGAUCCAAACUCUUGCUGUUAUUGUAACUUCUGAGUAAAACAAACAAAUAAAUCAAAACUUUCAACAACGGAUCUCUUGGUUCUGGCAUCGAUGAAGAACGCAGCAAAAUGCGAUAAGUAAUGUGAAUUGCAGAAUUCAGUGAAUCAUCGAAUCUUUGAACGCACAUUGCGCCCGCCAGUAUUCUGGCGGGCAUGCCUGUUCGAGCGUCAUUUCAACCCUCAAGCCCCCGGGUUUGGUGUUGGGGAUCGGCAAGCCUUCUGGCGAGCCGCCCCCUAAAUCUAGUGGCGGUCUCACUGCAGCCUCCAUUGCGUAGUAGCUAACACCUCGCAACUGGAACGCGGUGCGGCCAUGCCGUUAAACCCCCAACUUCUGAAUGUUGACCUCGGAUCAGGUAGGAAUACCCGCUGAACUUAAGCAUAUCAAUAAGCGGAGGAA